AAGCUUGCUUUUCUGAUGACGAGUGGCGCACGGGUGAGUAACGCGUAUACAAUUUACCUAUCACAGGGGUAUAGCUCGAAGAAAUUUGAAUUAAUCCCCCAUGGUAUAUAUGAUUGGCAUCAAUUAUAUAUUAAAGUUUCGGCGGUGAUAGAUGAGUAUGCGUCCUAUUAGUUAGUUGGUAAGGUAACGGCUUACCAAGGCGACGAUAGGUAGGGGUCCUGAGAGGGAGAUCCCCCACGCUGGUACUGAGACACGGACCAGACUCCUACGGGAGGCAGCAGUGAGGAAUAUUGGACAAUGGAGGCAACUCUGAUCCAGCCAUGCCGCGUGCAGGAAGACUGCCCUAUGGGUUGUAAACUGCUUUUAUACAGGAAGAAUAAUGGGUACGUGUACUCAGAUGACGGUACUGUAAGAAUAAGCAUCGGCUAACUCCGUGCCAGCAGCCGCGGUAAUACGGAGGAUGCAAGCGUUAUCCGGAAUCAUUGGGUUUAAAGGGUCCGUAGGCGGGUAAAUAAGUCAGUGGUGAAAGUCUGUCGCUUAACGAUAGAAUUGCCAUUGAUACUGUUUAUCUAGAGUUAUUAUGAAGUGGUUAGAAUGGGUAGUGUAGCGGUGAAAUGCAUAGAUAUUACUCAGAAUACCGAUUGCGAAGGCAGAUCACUAAUAAUAUACUGACGCUGAUGGACGAAAGCGUAGGUAGCGAACAGGAUUAGAUACCCUGGUAGUCUACGCAGUAAACGAUGGUCACUAGCUGUUCGGAUCGAUUAAGAUUUGAGUGGUUAAGCGAAAGUGAUAAGUGACCCACCUGGGGAGUACGUUCGCAAGAAUGAAACUCAAAGGAAUUGACGGGGGCCCGCACAAGCGGUGGAGCAUGUGGUUUAAUUCGAUGAUACGCGGGGAACCUUACCAGGGCUUAAAUGUAGAGUGACGUAUUUGGAAACAGAUAUUUCUUCGGACACUUUACAAGGUGCUGCAUGGUUGUCGUCAGCUCGUGCCGUGAGGUGUCAGGUUAAGUCCUAUAACGAGCGCAACCCCUGUGGUUAGUUGCCAUCAAGUAAUGUUGGGCACUCUAGCCAGACUGCCGGUGCAAACCGUGAGGAAGGUGGGGAUGACGUCAAAUCAUCACGGCCCUUACGUCCUGGGCUACACACGUGCUACAAUGGUAGGGACAGAGAGCAGCCACUUGGCGACAAGGAGCGAAUCUAUAAACCCUAUCACAGUUCGGAUCGUAGUCUGCAACUCGACUACGUGAAGCUGGAAUCGCUAGUAAUCGCAGAUCAGCCAUGCUGCGGUGAAUACGUUCCCGGGCCUUGUACACACCGCCCGUCAAGCCAUGGAAGCUGGGGGUACCUGAAGUCCGUUACCGUAAGGAGCGGCCUAGGGUAAAACUGGUAACUGGGGCUAAGUCGUAACAAGGUAGCCGUAACCCGGAGAGUUUGAUCCUGGGUCGUAACAAGGUAGCCGUAUGGACGGAGAGUUUGAUCCUGGUCGUAACAAGG
rnacentral:rRNA from 1 species